AAAGUUCAUCCAUCACACACGCAUCUAUUACUAAACAAAUCUAUAUUAAAUAGCAGUAUUAUUAUUAAAUGGAAUACAACUAAUAAUUAGCUAAUGUGAAACAGUUGACGUGCGUGAAGAUAGAGAAAGCAUCAUACUUCUAUUACGCGAUAAAGAACACUGUAUAGUGUAUCAGACUAGCAAGAUAAACAAAUCAUGUUCAAAAGCCACAAGCAAGAAAUAGAUUUCACACAUCAUAAACUAAUCUCAAACAAAAUACUAACCACACAUCAAAAGAUUAUCUCAACCAAAACUCAAUUCACAUGUAACAAAACAAAAAUUUCACUUUUCAAUAAUAUACAGCUUUGAACAAGAGCAAACAUAAAGAAUGAGAAAAUACCAUUUUCCGGUGCGCGGUGGUGCACAUGUAUCAGGUUCUCUCGUCGGUUGUCGGUUGUUGUUACAGUGGGCUUGAGUAUGUUUAAGGUUAUGGGUUGAUGGGAUGAAAUAUGAUGGCAAAAACGAGGAACGAUUGUGUUCAUUGUAUAAACAUAAGUUCCGGAUCUUACAAUGGUUUUGCAACAUGGUCAAGCAACCUCAUACAAUUAAGGAAAAAAA